UACGGAGGGUGCAAGCGUUAUCCGGAUUCACUGGGUUUAAAGGGUGCGUAGGUGGGUUGGUAAGUCAGUGGUGAAAUCUCCGGGCUUAACCUGGAAACUGCCAUUGAUACUAUCAAUCUUGAAUACCUUGGAGGUGAGCGGAAUAUGUCAUGUAGCGGUGAAAUGCUUAGAUAUGACAUAGAACACCAAUUGCGAAGGCAGCUCACUACACGGUCAUUGACACUGAGGCACGAAAGCGUGGGGAUCAAACAGG
rnacentral:rRNA from 2 species